ensembl:lncRNA
AUGGCCAACGCUUUCUACUCCCUCUACUCUCAUGUGUCGCGCACUCCUCUGCAGAAACUGGCCACACCAGAGUUCAGCUUCUCCUCGUCCCCCGUGGAGAGGAUCGAGCGUUUCAGGAGCACCGUCCGCAGCGAGCCGCGGUCUCCUGUCGAGAGGCUGAAGGACACCGUCUCCAAGAUGUGUCUCUACACAGGCUCUCCUCGCGGGUCAGACUCCACCUCCCCGCAGCCGUCGCCCAAAAAAAGGUCCAGCCUCCCCGAUGUUGUGGAUAUAGUCCUGGAGAAAGUCAAGAUCGGGGUGAGCAAGAAGCUGGAUUUGGAGGACUGUAACGGGAGUAAUUCAGAUGCGGAUGCGAGCCCCGUCACGGGUGGUGAUAAAUCAUGUGGCAUUGGGAAAGAGGAGCAAACACAGCAGACUGUGGCGGACACAGAAACUCUUCAAAGUGGAAAUCAAAACUGUGAGAUGCAGGGCGGUAAACAGACAGAUAAUGUCCAUGCUGAUGAAAAAGGCAUCAGAGCGGCAGAUCUCGACAGCGGGACUUACAGAACAUCCCUGGCGUCGUCCUUGUCGGGAGAAACUGUGAUAGAAAAAGAUCAUCAGCUUCUUUCGUGUCAACCAGAGCUGGACUCAACUCAGACCGAAACGGAGACGCCAAAUCUGAAACCAGUUGCCAAGGUUACGUAUGAUCUAAUCUGCCCGCAGAUAGUCGAGCGUACGCACCAGGCGCCUUUCAGCACACAUUGUCUGAAAACAAACACUCCCGUCUCCUCGGUGACAGAAAGCAUAGAUAGAUCACAUCCUGGAUCGCAAGCUGCUGCCUCUGAGGCCUCACACAUAGGUGCAUCAGCAUCACUUCCUGUCACAGCCUCCGAUGGCAGCUUCACCCAGUGCUACAUCACUGUCACGGGCUCGGAGGGUGACUCGCCGGAUUCCGGUCCUGCUUCGACCGUCCCACCCAUCCUGACUUGUGAGGAGCCGCGUAGCAAGAGGUACCUGAAGCCACUGACACAACAGGGCCCGGGGCAGGUUUCCACUAACCUGCAACAGCUCAACUCCUUUGAGCUGGAGGAGGUGCAUAGUGCAGGAGAGGAAGAUUUUGGACAAACAACCUACCAGUUUACCGAAAAACAUCAGUACAAAGGUGAAGUUAUCCGUGGCGACAGCAUGCAGUCAGACAGCAGCGGCUACGCGGACGAGGAAGUCGGCCUCACACACAGCAGAUGACAGAAAAAGAUAGAGCUUCGUGUCAUUAAUAUUUUCUCACCCGUGGAAUUUUUUCCUGCACUGAAGAUUCGAGUUUCUGUGACUAAGUAUUUGGAAAAUGCAUCCAAGCAAGGACCACCAGUAAAACAGGCCCUGAAGAUUGAAAUCUCAUGGUACUGUAAGAGACUGGGUGACGCGUGAGACUUUCAAAGGCGACCUACGCCGAAGAAGCUUUUGUAUCCCGAUGUGAACGGUUUCUGCCUAGAGCUCUUACUGAAAACACAAUAUUGUAAAUAAUUGAACAUAAAACUAUUCUUCUAGGUCUUUAUGAAAUGUUGUGUGGAUCUUAUGUUAUUAUGCCUCUGCAAGGCAUCUUAUUUAUUUAAUUCUUGUAAACUUUAACAGAGGAGCAGCCGGAAGCAUCUUGAUUUGAAACAUCACAAACCGGUAUGGUUUGUGCACGGCCCAAGACAGGAAGGCUAUACAUCACUGAUACCAAUGUACGGAGUUGAAGUGGGAUGUCUGCACAGAGCCAAAAGGAUACUAAAAGCCACAGUCUGUAGUAUCCACUUCCGUACCAGCAGAAUAUGGAGCAGCUUCAUUCCCCACACUCUUCAAAUGAUCAUCAACACUCAAUUAUGUGAACUACUUUUGUUUCUGUGUGAAUUUAGCGCAAAAAAAAAUCAAACGUAGUUUCUUUGGUGUUGUAAAAAUGAUAAAUAAAUUUACCUUGAACCUUUAUUUGCGGGUUGUCUGUCAGUCCCAUUCUUGUGAAUGUGAUGUCUCAGAAACACGUUGAGGGAAUUUCAUCAUAUUUGGAAAAUAGAUCAGUCCACUCGGACUCAAGAACGAACUGAUGAGGUCUUAGAGGUCGAGGUCACUGUGACCUCACAGGACAUUUUUUCAUCUUACACAAAUGUCUUAUAGGAUAAAAUGAAGUAAUGACGUUUUAUAUCCAAAGGGGUUAAAGGUCAACUUAACUGUGCCAUUAAAACAUUCUGCAAAAAAUGUUUUGGCUAUUAUUCAACACCACAUUUCAGG